rnacentral:rRNA from 1 species
UACGGGGGGGGGCAAGCGUUGUUCGGAAUUACUGGGCGUAAAGCGCGCGUAGGCGGACCUGCAAGUCGGGGGUGAAAGCCCGAGGCUCAACCUCGGAACUGCCUUCGAUACUGCGGGUCUCGAGUCCGGGAGAGGUGAGUGGAAUUCCUAGUGUAGAGGUGAAAUUCGUAGAUAUUAGGAAGAACACCAGUGGCGAAGGCGGCUCACUGGCCCGGUACGUGACGCUGAGG